GUGUUAUUUCAGUCAGUAAGUGUGAUUCCACAUACAACCACCAGGGGCGCCUCUCGCAUUGGUGGAAUAGAGAAGGUUGAGCACACAGAAGAAGAAUAAGCCUCUUAAAUGCUAAUAUAAGCUCAACAUAUGUGUCUUAUCUUUUCUACAUCACAGAAUAUAGACAUCAAGGAGUGCUGAUAAGACACUAAAACAGGCAGUCAUGUGAAUCCAGAAAUCACCUCAGGUGUCUGAGAUCUGUCCAUCACAAGCUGCAGUGAAACCCCAGAAGAACUUAAGAGGUUACCUCCAGCAGCAGGUGCAGCUGACAUGUUUGGAAAUUCUUCCUCCAUGUGAGAUUUGGAGAUAUUUAGAUGGAUUGUGUGGUUCCAGAAGUGGAAUGGCAGCUGGACAUGACUUCCUUGCUUCACCUCUGCACCCUAAAGAAUCUAGCCCUACCAGAUGUUCUUAAUUGCAUGAGUGUAUGAAGUUUGGCUUUUUCCUCACCUGAUUUAAACCAGAACAGCAUUUUAAAGGUGUCCAGUCCUAAAGAGGAUAAAAAUAUAUGUUCAUUGUUUUUCAACAAAGAAAAAGACAAGGUUUGCAGCGAUUACAUUCAAUUAUGUCCAAACUGAAUAUUAUUUCAAAAUGUGGUGCAACAAUGACUUUUAUAGUUUUGAGUAAAGUUCAGACGUCAACAAUAGAACCAUAGAAAACCACGUAGAAAUAAUUAAAACUUAAAUAACAUUACAUAAUGCGAUAGCUGAUAUAGACAAAGAUACAAAACAACACAAGAAAUCAACAUAAUGCUACCACCAACAAACUUGGUAUAGUAUGUAAAGCAAAAUGACAAUAGCAAAGUUAAACCAAAGCAUUCUCAAUAACUUUAAAGUACGAUGGAAUAAAUAGAUCAUGGAAUCAUAAAAAUCAUGGAAUAUUGUGCCCCUAUAUGCCUGGAAAUUAUGGGAUAAUGAUUUUCUACAUUCCUAAAGUAUAGAAUUGUUCAAAUGUCUGCUGAAGAACUACUUCUUUUCUUUGGACUUUAGAGAGUAUAACAUAUUCAAUAGUUUUAUUAUGGUAAUUGUAUUUGAA